GACAGGGGGUGCAAACGUUGUUCGGAAUUACUGGGCGUAAAGCGAGUGUAGGCGGUUUGGUAAGUCGGAUGUGAAAACCCCGGGCUCAACCCGGGAAGUGCACUCGAUACUGCCAAGCUAGAGUAUCGGAGAGGUUGGUGGAAUUCUCGGUGUAGAGGUGAAAUUCGUAGAUAUCGAGAGGAACACCGGUGGCGAAGGCGGCCAACUGGACGAAUACUGACGCUGAGACUCGAAAGCGUGGGGAGCAAACAGG
rnacentral:rRNA from 1 species